rnacentral:rRNA from 1 species
AGAGUUUGAUCAUGGCUCAGGAUAAACGCUGGCGGCGCACAUAAGACAUGCAAGUCGAACGGAAGUCGUUACGAAAUGGAAUGAAGAUUUAUCUGAUUGAAGUUUUGUAACAAUGGCUUUAGUGGCGGACUGGUGAGUAACACGUAAGCAAUCUACCUAUUAGAGGGGAAUAACAAUGAGAAAUCAUUGCUAAUACCGCAUAAGCUUGUAGUACCGCAUGGUACAGCAAGAAAAGGAGCAAUCCGCUAAUAGAUGAGCUUGCGGCUGAUUAGCUAGUUGGUGUGGUAACGGCAUACCAAGGCAACGAUCAGUAGCCGGGCUGAGAGGCUCUUCGGCCACAUUGGGACUGAGAUACGGCCCAGACUCCUACGGGAGGCAGCAGUCGGGAAUUUUGCGCAAUGGAGGAAACUCUGACGCAGUGACGCCGCGUAUAGGAAGAAGGUUUUCGGAUUGUAAACUAUUUUAGUCAGGGAAGAAAAAUGACAGUACCUGAAGAAUAAGCUCCGGCUAACUACGUGCCAGCAGCCGCGGUAAUACGUAGGGAGCAAGCGUUAUCCGGAUUUAUUGGGUGUAAAGGGUGCGUAGACGGGAAGACAAGUUGGUUGUGAAAGCCCUCGGCUCAACUGAGGAACUGCAACCAAAACUAUCAUUCUUGAGUGCGGGAGAGGAAAGUGGAAUUCCUAGUGUAGCGGUGAAAUGCGUAGAUAUUAGGAGGAACACCAGUGGCGAAGGCGACUUUCUGGACCGUAACUGACGUUGAGGCACGAAAGUGUGGAGAGCAAACAGGAUUAGAUACCCUGGUAGUCCACACCGUAAACGAUGGAUACUAGGUGUAGGGAACGAUAUGUUUUCUGUGCCGAAAGCAAACGCAAUAAGUAUCCCACCUGGGGAGUACGGCCGCAAGGUUGAAACUCAAAGGAAUUGACGGGGGCCCGCACAAGCGGUGGAGUAUGUGGUUUAAUUCGACGCAACGCGAAGAACCUUACCAGGGCUUGACAUUGAGUGAAAGGACAAGAGAUUGUCCCCUCUCUUCGGAGACACGAAAACAGGUGGUGCAUGGCUGUCGUCAGCUCGUGUCGUGAGACGUUGGGUUAAGUCCCGCAACGAGCGCAACCCCUAUUCUUUGUUGCCAGCACGUAAUGGUGGGAACUCAAAGGAGACUGCCGCGGACAACGCGGAGGAAGGCGGGGAUGACGUCAAGUCAUCAUGCCCCUUAUGUCCUGGGCUACACACGUACUACAAUGGGAUGGACAGAGAGCAGCGAAGCCGCGAGGCCAAGCGAACCCCAUAAACCAUCUCCCAGUUCGGAUUGCAGGCUGCAACCCGCCUGCAUGAAGUUGGAAUCGCUAGUAAUCGCAGGUCAGCAUACUGCGGUGAAUACGUUCCCGGGCCUUGUACACACCGCCCGUCACACCACGGAAGUCAUUCACACCCGAAGCCGGCAGGCUAACCUUUUGGAGGCAGCCGUCUAAGGUGGGGGCGAUGACUGGGGUGAAGUCGUAACAAGGUA